UACGUAGGGUGCAAGCGUUACUCGGAAUUACUGGGCGUAAAGCGUGCGCAGGCGGUUUUGUAAGUCUGUCGUGAAAUCCCCGGGCUUAACCUGGGAAUUGCGAUGGAGACUGCAAGGCUAGAAUCUGGCAGAGGGGGGUAGAAUUCCACGUGUAGCAGUGAAAUGCGUAGAGAUGUGGAGGAAUACCGAUGGCGAAGGCAGCCCCCUGGGAUGAUACUGACGCUCAUGCACGAAAGCGUGGGGAGCAAACAGG
rnacentral:rRNA from 1 species